CCUACGGGUGGCAGCAGUAGGGAAUCUUUCACAAUGGGCGAAAGCCUGAUGGAGCAACGCCGCGUGCAGGAUGAAGGCCUUCGGGUUGUAAACUGCUUUUAUAAGCGAGAAAUAUGUUGGUAACUUAUGAAUAAGGAUCGGCUAACUACGUGCCAGCAGCCGCGGUCAUACGUAGGAUCCGCGCAUUAUCCGGAGUGACUGGGGGUAAAGAGUUGCGUAGGUGGCAUAAUAAGUAGCUAGUGAAAACUGGUGGCUCAAACAAUCAGACUAUUAGCUAUACUGUUAAGCUCGAGACCGUUAGAGGUAACUGGAAUUUCUAGUGUAGGAGUGAAAUCCGUAGAUAUAUGAAAGAACACCAAUAGCGUAGGCAGGUUACUGGGACGGUUCUGACACUGAGGCACGAAAGCGUAGGGAGCAAACGGGAUUAGAUACCCCGGUAGUC
rnacentral:rRNA from 1 species